rnacentral:lncRNA from 1 species
CAGGAACAAUUGGAUCAAGGCAAGUAUAGCAUUUGAGUUUUAUUUCUAUGACCAUGAUCUUGUGACUUGAUUAAUGUUUGAGCAAGAAACGAUAAAAAUGACUUUUUAGCAACUUGAGGAUUUAUCUAUAUGUGAUCACCCAGGAUUGUAGUGCAACCAUGAGGGCUAUAGUGGCUCUGGCUUUAGUCAAGUAUGAGGCCUUGUUUAGUUCCGAAAACUGAAAAGUUUUCGGAACUGUAGCAUUUUCGUUUUUAUUUGACAAAUAUUAUCCAAUCAUGAAGUAACUAGGCUUAAAAGAUUCAUCGCGUCAUUUACAGGUAAACUGUGCAAUU